rnacentral:rRNA from 1 species
CAUGUAGGCUGCUUGUUAAAUCUGAUGUGAAGGCCCCGGGCUCAACCCGGGAAGUGCAUUGGAUACUGGCAAGCUUGAGUAUGGGAGAGGAAAGUGGAAUUCCGAGUGUAGGGGUGAAAUCCGUAGAUAUUCGGAGGAACACCAGUGGCGAAGGCGGCUUUCUGGACCAAUACUGACGCUGAUAUGCGAAAGCGUGGGGAGCAAACA